GUGGGCUGGUUAGGUAGCUUCGGGCUGCAGUCAAAAGCAGACUGAGGAAGUUCCGUCCACCUUUUGAGGGAAAACUGCUGAAAAGCAGAACGUUGAUAUCAGAAACGAGACCUCUGAAUCUCGAGAACGAGGAUUGAAAAUGAGUUGGGAUUGGGAGGAUGAAACGGAUUGACGUCCCUGUGGGGUGCAAGUUUAAGACGCUAAGACAAAUGCUACCUGAAAACAGAAGACGGACUAAAACCAGCACGC
rnacentral:RNase_P_RNA from 1 species